AUGUCGGCUCAUCACAUCCUGGGGCUGAAGUCGGUCCCAAGGGUAUGGCUGUUCGCCAUUUAAAGUGGUACGCGAGCUGGGUUCAGAACGUCGUGAGACAGUUCGGUCCCUAUCUGCCGUGGGCGUUGGAUGAUUGAAGGGAGUUGCUCCUAGUACGAGAGGACCGGAGUGAACGAACCUCUGGUGUUCGGGUUGUCACGCCAGUGGCACUGCCCGGUAGCUAAGUUCGGAAUCGAUAACCGCUGAAAGCAUCUAAGCGGGAAGCGAGCCCUGAGAUGAGUCAUCCCUGACCCCUUGAGGGUCCUAAAGGGCCGUUGGAGACCACAACGUUGAUAGGUGGGGUGUGUAAGUGCAGUGAUGUGUUGAGCUAACCCAUACUAAUUACCCGUGAGGCUUAACCAUACAACACCCAAGAAGUGUUCUG
rnacentral:rRNA from 1 species